rnacentral:lncRNA from 1 species
UAACAGUUCACAUAAUAUUAUUAUGCCUGAGUACCUCAGUAAUUCUGUCUACAAAAAGUGCCUCGUUAAUCAGGUAGCGAUUGCCUCAGUCGGCUUUUAUUAAAAAAUACUCACAAUAUUUGUGUCUUCACCCGAUGAUUGGAACUUAACAUCCUCUUCAAAAUUAAAGCUUUCAGCACAAUCACUGGUCUUGAAAGUUGAUCUCCUUUACUUCUAAAACAGACAACGAAUAUUUAUAAGGUGAAAAGUAAUAAAAAAUAAUAAUUCAUCAUAAACGUGAGCACUACUUUGUAAUCAGUGGCGUACCCACCAUUGGGGCAAGUAGGCUCGGACGGCCCAGGUAUGAAGUGGCGAAGCAGGACGGCCCAGGUCUGAAGUGGCGGAGCAGAGUAAUCCCCUGUCCGUCGCCCCAGCAAACCACAGUUUCUAGGUCGGACACUGUCCGUAAUGAUAUUAUAAUAUCAUCCUCUUUAACAUCAUAUUUGCACUCUCUAUUGUGCAGGAAGAAACGAUGAAAAGAAAAGGUGGGCCACAUAGCAAGGAAUGUGAGAAACCUGCCAAGAUGGUUAAGAACAAUCAAAUAUGCAAUCCAACAAGGUGAUCCAUUACUAAUCAUGAAUCUUUUAUUGGUGGUAUCACAAGAAUGUUACAACUAAAAAUGCAACAAUUCCCGUUAGGCGCAUGUGGGUUCGUAAUUAAUUUUAGCUUGGACGGGAAAAACGAUAUUUUAAUUUAUUAUCUCAUUGAUGUGAAUUCAGACAGUCAACAAAAAUGGCAAGAUUAGAAAGGAGAAUCAAACUUCAAGCAAAGAAAAUGAGACAGCUUUCGAUCAUAAAUGGAGAAGUGCCAGACCGCGCAACUAUACUAGAAGAACAACUUUUGAUCCAUGUGAAGUAAGCAAAUCUUCAGAGUUUUGCCCGCAUGUGUAUUAUCAUCAAUUUGGUUUAGUUACUUCUCUGAAUUCAAUUGCUAAACUUUAUCAUUAUGAUGCACGACUGGUACUACGGUAUACUGGAAGCAACAUCAUAUAGCUUGCUUCUGCUUUGCACAUCAAUUCUGCUAUCUAUGUGCUCAAAUCUUUCAAAGCUUACAAAAAUCCCUUCGUUGACUCGGUGCAUUUGAUGUAGUAAAAUUUGAUCUUAAACAUUUUACCGUAAACAAAUACUUAUAAUGCCCGGUCGCCCAUGCAUUUCCAUAUCUCCAGGUGCAGCUAAUUUAAAUUGCUCUAUUAAAUCACAAAAACAUGUUACGAUUGGUUCUGACUGUAGCUACGAAGUAUGUUUUUGAAACAAAAGAAUCAUGAUAGCACAUAUCCAUGGACUAUGGUUAAACCAAAACUGUGGCAAAAAAACAUUGUUGUAUUGCCACAAGGAACCAUGUCCUGUACAGAUGUGCAUUGCUUAUGCUGGAAAUUCCAUCUCUUAUUUAUACUAAAUGGCAUUUAUAUUUAUGCAGGGACAAAGCUAAAGAGGCAAGGAUGUAUAGGAAAAGAAAAAUACAAAGCAAGAGGGUUGCAGAACUAGCGACAGAAAAUGAAGCAAUGAUCGGCCAGGCUGGUAAGACUACAAGGUAAGUAACAAGAAAAUACAAUCAACAUCUAAAAUUUGGACAUUCAUGAACCUGAUAUUUCUGUUAUGCACAUGUACAGGACUAAAAGUAACAAAAGGUGUACUACAUCAAAGUCAAGGAGAAAGAAAAAAACACCAGAUAUGUAAGAUCUAUUAAGUUUGUUUUAUUAGUAUGAACGAAAACAUACAUUACUAAUAUAAAAUUUGAUGCUAAAUUCAGAAACUUGAACAGGACAUCGGAAAGGACUGAUAUGGAAAUUUGGAACUUCGGAGAACCAAGCUGCAAGUGUGAACGAUGUGGUGCAAUUUUCUGGUACGAAGAAAGAACUUCAGGUAGAGCGAGAAGGAUGCCAUCUUUCGGACUAUGUUGCCAACAGGGCAAGGUCGAUUUGCCACCAUUCAGAGAGCCGCCGGCUUACCUUACGAAAUUGUUAAGGAAAGACAACGGAAAGAGGUCAAAAAACUACAUGCAAAAUAUCAGAUUGUACAACUUCAUGUUUGCUUUCACGACAAUGGGAGGAAAGGUAGACACAGAAAUAAACAAUGGUGGUGGUCCUUAUGUUUUUAGAAUGAAUGGGCAAACUACCACAGAAUAGGUACUCUACUACCUGAAGGUGAAGAUAAACCAUGCUGGGCACAGUUGUAUAUCUAUGACACCAAAAAUGAGGUAAAAAACAGGAUUAAUGCGUCAACAUCAGAAGAUAAAAGGGAGUCAAUAGAUCCUCACAUCGUCGAGGGCCUUAAAAAUAUGCUGGAUAGAGAUAAUAUACUUGCAAAAACAUUCAGAAUGGCAAGGGACAGAUUCGAAGAAGGUGACUAUCACAACAUGAGAUUAAAACUAAUCAAUAAGCGACGCACAGAUGGAAGACGGAAUGACAUGCCAUCUGCAACUGAAGUUGCAGCCUUGAUUGUGAAUGAUAUGGCAGAAAAUAGAAAAGGACGGGAUAUCAUUGUUCAGUACAGAGACACAAGGCCAAGAAGAAUAUCAGAGAAGCAUCCAAAAUUCAUGGCUAUGCAGUAUCCACUAUUGUUCCCCUAUGGAGAAGAUGGGUACAGAGAAAAUAUACCCUACAUAUUAAAAGAAGGUGCAAAAUGCAAGAGAAAGCAUGUAACAAUGCUGGAAUACUAUGCGUAUCGUCUACAACAACGUACUAACCAAUCGAUGCAUUUGCUGAUGUGUGAAAAGCUUACAUUGCAGUUCAUUGUGGAUGCCCUUGCAUGCAUUUUGCAGUAUAGGCUAGACUGGAUCAGAACACAUCAAGGAAACCUAAGAACGGAAUUAUAUGCUGGCUUGCAGGACACAAUAGAUAGAGGAGAUACAAGGGCUGACCAAGUAGGAAAGAGGAUACUGCUGCCAUCCACCUUCACAGAUAGCCCUAGAUACAAAGCACAAAACUUCCAAGAUGCUAUGGCAAUAUGUCGGUGGGCUGGAUACCCAGACCUAUUUGUGACAUUCACGUGCAACACAGCUUGGCCGGAGAUUCAAGCUAUGCUACAGGAAGUAGGCCAAACAGCAUAUGAAAGACCUGAUAUUGUUGAUCGAGUGUUCCACAUAAAGCUCAAGGAGUUCAUGAGAGACAUAAGAGAAAGGGAAUACUUUGGAAAAACACUUGCAAGUAAUAUACCCUACUGACUUGACCACUCCUGUUAUUUAAUUUUCUAUACCAAAAUAACUAAUGAUUAUUUUCUUAAUUGUAGUAAUAUACACAAUAGAGUUCCAAAAAAGGGGCCUCCCACAUGCCCACAUAGUCAUAUUCCUCGACAAAAAGGAAAAGGAACACAAGUAUCCUGAACCAUCAGAGGUAGACAGAGUAACUUGCGCAGAGAUCCCAGACAAGGACAUUGAUCCAGAAGGAUAUGCAGCUGUUGAAAACUACAUGAUGCAUGGGCCAUGUGGUGCAGCCAACACAAAGUCACCAUGCAUGGUCGAUAACAGAUGUAUAAGAAAGUUCCCAAAAAUAUAUAACAGCAAUACCACCGUCGAUGAAGAUGGAUACCCAGUAUAUAGAAGACGAGACGAUGGAAGAUACAUACCGAAAGGGGAAGUAAAGUUGGACAACAGAUACGUAGUCCCAUACAAUAGAAAUCUACUGGUCAAAUAUCAAGCACACAUAAAUGUCGAGGCGUGCAACAGAUCUCUAUCAAUAAGAUACCUUUUUAAAUACAUAAAGAAAGGUGAUGACCGAGCCACAACGCUAAUAGAAAACGAUGAGAUCAAGAGGUACCUAGAGUGCACAUAUAUAUCAGGGAAUGACGCGUGUUGGAGAAUAUUUCAAUUCGAAAUGAACUUCAGAGAUCCCUGCGUCGAAAGGUUGCCUUUCCACCUGGAGAAUGAGCAACAGGUCAUUUUCUCAGAUUCUACAGAUUUAACAAAGAUAGUAAGAAAAGAAAGAGUAGGAAUCACUAAAUUUACACAGUGGAUGGAGACAAACAAGAUGUGUGAAGAAGCCAGAGAAUUAACAUAUGCAGAGUUCCCGUCAAAAUGGGCAUGGAAGAAGAAAGAGACAAAGUGGAGCAAAAGGAAGAAAGGAAGAUCAGUUGGAAGAAUAUAUUGUGCCCAUCCAGCAAGUGGAGAAAAAUACUACAUGCGAAUGCUACUUAACGUCAAAAAAGGAUGCACAUGUUUCGAAGACAUCAGAACAGUAAAUGGAGUUGUCCACACAUCAUACAGAUCUACUUGCGAAGCACUAGGAUUCCUCGAUGACGACAAAGAGUGGCUUGAGUGCAUAAAUGAGGCAUCAAACUGGGCGACUGGCAACCAGCUAAGACAACUAUUCACAACAAUCUUAUGCCACUGUGAAGUCACAAGCCCGAAAAAUAUGUGGGAAUCAUGCUGGGAAGUUCUAAGCGAAGACACGGCAUAUAGACAGAGAAAACUCUUGAAGCAUCCUACACUUUCCCUCACAGCUUCACAGAAGCAAGGACACACCUUGGUGGAAAUAGAGAAGCUAAUGAGACAAGCUGGAAGACACUUAAGGAAUACCCCGGAAUAGAACUUCCAGAUUCUUCAGAAAUAAAAGAACUUGGAAACAGACUACUCAAUGAAGAGAUUAACUACAACAAAGAGGAGCAAAAAGAAGAGCAUUCAAGGAUCUUUGGUAGUCUGAACUCAGAACAACGCCAUGCAUUUGACUCAGUAAUGGAAUCAGUUAACAAACAUUUGGGAAAACUAAUAUUUGUGGACGGGUAUGGUGGGACAGGUAAGACAUAUCUGUGGAAGGCAAUCACAACAAAGUUGCGUUCCGAAGGCAAGAUAGUACUAGCAGUGGCGUCAUGUGGUAUUGCAGCUCUGCUUCUACAGGGAGGUAGAACAGCACACUCGAGGUUCCACAUCCCCCUAAUCCUUACAGAAGAGUCAACAUGUGACAUCAAACAAGGUUCACACUUGGCAGAACUACUAAAGAAGACGGCACUAAUACUAUGGGAUGAGGCUCCAAUGGCAAACAAGAUAUGCUUUGAGGCGCUAGACAGGACUUUAAGGGAUAUAUUAAGGCAUAAAAAUGUCAACAGCAGCAAGAGACCAUUCGGUGGCAUGACAGUGGUUCUAGGAGGGGACUUCCGCCAGAUCCUUCCUGUUAUACCAAAGGGAAGAAGACACAACAUAGUCACUGCAUCCAUUAAAAGGUCACAUCUUUGGAAGCACUUUCACAUAUUGAAGCUAACAAAGAACAUGCGACUCAACUGCACAACACAUGAUGAAUCAGAGAAACAACGGGUAGCAGAAUUUGCAGAGUGGAUUCUGAAUAUUGGCGAUGGAACAAAUACAUCAUCAGAAGGUGAGGAAUUGAUAAAAAUACCAAGUGACAUACUACUGGAGAAAGGAAAUGAUCCCAAAAAAACAAUUGUGGAAAGCAUAUAUCCAAAUUUGCAGGAGAGGUAUCGUCAGCGAGAAUUCUUAGAAGAAAGAGCAAUAUUAUGUCCAAGGAACGAAACAGUUCGCGAUAUAAAUGAGUAUAUAAUGGAUCAGCUACAAGGUGAAGAGAAAACUUAUCUAAGCUACGACACAGUAUGCAAAGCAACAUCCUUAAAUGCACAAACAGAACUGUUAUAACAACAACAACGAAGCCUUUAGUCCCAAACAAGUUGGGGUAGGCUAGAGGUGAAACCCAUAAGAUCUCGCAACCAACUCAUGGCUCUGGCACAUGGAUAGCAAGCUUCCACGCACCCCUGUCCAUAGCUAGCUCUUUGUCGAUACUCCAAUCCUUCAGGUCUCUCUUAACGGACUCCUCCCAUGUCAAAUUGGGUCGACCCCGCCCUCUCUUGACAUUCUCCGCACGCUUUAGCCGUCCGCUAUGCACUGGAGCUUCUGGAGGUCUGCGCUGAAUAUGCCCAAACCAUCUCAGACGAUGUUGGACAAGCUUCUCCUCAAUUGGUGCUACCCCAACUCUAUCUCGUAUAUCAUCAUUCCGGACUCGAUCCUUCCUCGUGUGGCCACACAUCCAUCUCAACAUACGCAUCUCCGCCACAGCUAAUUGUUGAACAUGUCGCCUUUUAGUCGGCCAACACUCCGCGCCAUACAACAUUGCGGGUCGAACCGCCGUCCUGUAGAAUUUGCCUUUUAGCUUUUGUGGCACUCUCUUGUCACAGAGAAUGCCAGAAGCUUGGCGCCACUUCAUCCAUCCGGCUUUGAUUCGAUGGUUCACAUCUUCAUCAAUACCCCCAUCCUCCUGCAACAUUGACCCCAAAUACCGAAAGGUGUCCUUCCGAGGUACCACCUGGCCAUCAAGGCUAACCUCCUCCUCACACCUAGUAGUACUGAAACCGCACAUCAUGUACUCGGUUUUAGUUCUACUAAGCCUAAACCCUUUCGAUUCCAAGGUUUGUCUCCAUAACUCUAACUUCCCAUUUACCCCCGUCCGACUAUCGUCAACUAGCACCACAUCAUCCGCAAAGAGCAUACACCAUGGGAUAUCUCCUUGUAUAUCCCUUGUGACCUCAUCCAUCACCAAUGCAAAAAGAUAAGGGCUCAAAGCUGACCCCUGAUGCAAUCCUAUCUUAAUCGGGAAGUCAUCGGUGUCGACAUCACUUGUUCGAACACUUGUCAGAACAUUAUCGUACAUGUCCUUGAUGAGGGUAAUGUACUUUGCUGGAACUUUGUGUUUCUCCAAGGCCCACCACAUGACAUUCCGCGGUAUCUUAUCAUAGGCCUUCUCCAAGUCAAUGAACACCAUAUGCAAGUCCUUCUUUUGCUCCCUAUAUCUCUCCAUAAGUUGUCGUACCAAGAAAAUGGCUUCCAUGGUCGACCUCCCAGGCAUGAAACCAAACUGAUUUUUGGUCACGCUUGUCAUUCUUCUUAAGCGGUGCUCAAUGACUCUCUCCCAUAGCUUCAUUGUAUGGCUCAUCAGCUUAAUUCCACGGUAAUUAGUACAACUCUGAACAUCCCCCUUGUUCUUGAAGAUUGGUACUAAUAUACUCCGUCUCCAUUCUUCUGGCAUCUUGUUUGCCCGAAAAAUGAGGUUAAAAAGCUUGGUUAGCCAUACUAUCGCUAUGUCCCCGAGACCUUUCCACACCUCAAUGGGGAUACAAUCAGGGCCCAUCGCCUUGCCUCCUUUCAUCCUUUUUAAAGCCUCCUUCACCUCAGACUCCUGGAUGCGCCGCACAAAACGCAUGCUAGUCUCAUCAAAGGAGUCGUCUAGUUCAAUGGUAGAACUCUCAUUCUCCCCAUUGAACAGCUUGUCGAAGUACUCCCGCCAUCUAUGCUUAAUCUCCUCGUCCUUCACCAAGAGUUGGCCUGCUCCGUCCUUGAUGCAUUUGACUUGGCCAAUAUCCCUCGUCUUCCUCUCCCGGAUCUUAGCCAUCUUAUAGAUGUCCCUUUCACCUUCCUUCGUGCCUAACCGUUGGUAAAGGUCCUCAUAUGCCCGACCCCUUGCUUCACCAACAGCUCGCUUUGCGGCCUUCUUCGCCAUCUUGUACUUCUCUAUGUUGUCUGCACUCCUAUCCAGGUAUAGGCGUCUGAAGCAAUCUUUCUUCUCUUUAAUCGCCUUCUGGACAUCAUCAUUCCACCACCAGGUAUCCUUAUCUUCGCUUCUCCUUCCCCUGGACACCCCAAACUCCUCCGAGGCCACCUUACGAAUGCAAGUCGCCAUCUUCAUCCACACAUUGUCCGCAUCCCCUCCUUCCUCCCAAGGGCCCUCCUUAAUUACCCUCUCCUUGAACACCUGAGCUACCUCCCCCUUGAGCUUCCACCACUUCGUUCUAGCGACUUUGGCACGCUUAUCCCGCUGGACACGAAUCCGAAAGCGGAAGUCAGCAACCACCAGCUUAUGCUGGGGUACAACACUCUCUCCAGGUAUCACCUUAUAGUCUAGGCACGCACGCCUAUCUUCUCUUCUUGAGAGGAUGAAAUCAAUCUGGCUAGAGUGUUGGCCACUACUAAAAGUCACCAGAUGUGAUUCUCUCUUUCUAAAGAGGGUGUUAGCUACAAUCAUGUUGUAGGCUAGAGCAAAGCUUAAGACAUCUUCUCCUUCUUGAUUCCUGAUGCCAUAGCCAAAGCCCCCAUGCGUCCCUUCAAAACCUGUGUUAGAUGUACCCACGUGGCCAUUGAGGUCUCCUCCUAUGAAGAGCUUCUCACCAAUCGGUACACUCCUAACCAUGUCUUCCAAGCCUUCCCAGAACUCCCUCUUGGUGUUCUCAUUGUGGCACGCGCUGAUAACAUUGAGAACCAAGUCCUCAACUACCAGCUUGACCAGGAUAAUCCGGUCCCCACGUCUCUUGACGUCUACCACUCCAUACUUGAGGCUCUUGUUGAUCAAGAUGCCUACACCAUUUCUGUUUGCAGCCGUCCCCGUGUACCACAGCUUGAAGCCGGUAUCCUCCACCUCCUUCGCCUUCUGUCCUCUCCAUUUGGUUUCUUGGACGCAAAGGAUAUCAACACCUCUCCUCACCGCUCACAAACAGAACUGUUAUAUCCAACGGAAUUCCUAAACAGCUUAUCGUUCCCUGGAAUCCCAAAUCGCGAGCUAAAAUUAAAAGUUGGCAUACCUGUGAUGCUCCUACGUAAUAUCAACCAAAGUGCUGGGUUAUGCAAUGGUACAAGGCUGACUAUUAUUCAACUUGGAAGAAGAUUCGUCGAAGCACAGAUAAUAACAGGAACACAUGUGGGAGAAAAGGUAUAUAUUCCAAGAAUAGUCAUGUCACCAACUGAAUCAGCGUGGCCGUUCAUUCUAAAAAGGAGACAGUAUCCUAUAUUAAUAUGCUUUGCUAUGACUAUCAACAAAAGCCAGGGCCAGUCUCUAAACAAGGUAGGACUAUAUCUGCCUACACAAGUUUUCACACAUGGACAGCUAUAUGUAGCAUUCUCAAGAGUCACAAAAAGGGAUGGACUGCGCGUAAUGGUAAAUGAUGAAGAUACCAAUGAGGAUGAUGUCGUCAAGAACAUAGUCUAUAAAGAAAUUUUGUAAAGGUAUGAACAAAUAACACAGUUUCAGCAUGAUGCUUCUUCGACAAGAUGAGGCUACCGGCCAAUUACAUAAGAAUAAGUACAUAUAUAAAAAAUUAGUACGCUGCAUACUAUCCUGAAAAUAAAAACUGACUUAUCUACGCUAACAUGAUAUGGCAGGACGAAUAUGGUCUACUACCGUGCAGAAGUAUUGGAACAUGCAUUAACAUUUGGUGGAAAUAGUUCCUUAAUACCAAACAUCGACAAUCUAUGUUAUGUGAUAUCUGAUGCUUGAACCUUAUUACAUAUUGUAAACCAGUAGUGAGAGCAUCCGCACAUCCUUAUAUUUUAUAUGGAGAAUGCAAUCAGACCUGUUCUCAUAUUCAGUAGCUAAAUUUUAAUUUGUCUUUGGGAAAUACCAAAAAUAGCUAAUCACAAAUACACUAAUUAUUUACUAAGUUUUUUUAAUACUAUAAUGGGGGUAGGGGGGCCUAACACUGCCAAUGCCAGUCUCAAGCCCGGAAAAAAGUGAAGGGGGCAUAAACAAAGUACCAAUACGCCUUAAGCUGUAUUAGGCUAUCAUCAUUUAUUAGUAUCUUGAGUCCUUGACCAUAAGUCAACCGGAUGAAAGAUCAGAUAGUAUACAGGAUGGUACGCAAAACACAAAUGGUAGCAUUUGUCACUAACAAACACUAGUAAAAGUGCACGUGCAACGCACGUCUCAAAUGUUGAUCAAAUGUGAUACACGUCAAUAUAAAAAAGACAAUCCCAAAUAUGUAAAUAAAUUAAAUAGAUGCACAUCUCAAAGGUUGAGAAAAUGUGAUACAUUUUAAUAUAAAAUAAAACAAUCCCAAAUAUAUAUGAAUUGAAUAGAUACACAAUGUUUGUGAUGUUGCUCAAGUUGUAUUUUCAAAAGUGGGAUGCUAUUGUAGUCAUGUUGCUGCAUAGAGACAGUAAUAUAUUCUUUCAUUCUGGUAUCUGAUAAGUUGUAAAUGAAGAGCACUAAAUCUAGUAAUAUGUUCACUCAUUCGAGAAGUUAAUUCUAGUGUGGUAUUUCUUAAUGCAAUAUAUGAUUCAAUAGACAACAUGAAUUUAUCCCAAGAGAUCUGCUUGGAGAACAAAAUAGAGCUACUAUUUACACUCCUCAAUAUCCUAUACCAAUAUACUAUAGAUUGUUCCCUCUUUUCCUGAUGGUAGCAUGCAGAUUUCUCCCACAGACUCUCAGUAAAACUCUCCAUUUCCUGUGAUUCAUUCAGAUUGAUGGGGAGAUUGUCAAAUAGGCAUAUAAAUACAUUUCUUAGAAGCUCAAAUCAUUAAGUAGGUCCAUCUCAUUCUGAAAGAUCUUGUAAUUAUAAGUUGCAUAAUUCUAUAGUGGCUACGGUGUGGGUACAAAUUGUCGUCAUAGAUAAAAGUAUAUGCAUUUUGGACAUUGACAAAUCAACUGCGCCAAACUAUAAAGUGAGUACAAACCUGUGGAAUAGAUGACAAUAAAUUCAAAAGCACACUUGUAAAUUGUAAUUCAUAAUGCCUUUCACCAUGAUAUUUGGAAAUAUUUGAGAUGCAGAGUAGGAAAAGAUUUGUUUUCAAAACAAUAAUCGAGAUGUCAAAAAGGACAUGUUUCAUGUGAAAUCGAAGUAGCUUAUCUUACAUAAUCCACUGAUGUGAGUGGACACUGUUUUACAUGAAUGCGCACUGGAUUUGAAAAAGACAAUGUAUAAUAGAAGAUGAAAUAGUUACAUAUCAAUAUCAAUACAGAACCAUGAAGAAAGGCAAGGAUAGCCAUCAAUAGUAGUCUGUAGUACACCUGAGAGCUAUCACCCGCCAUGAGACCAGUAGAUAUAAAAUAUCAAAGGAACAUAAGAGAAUUUCCUAGGAGACUUGCUCAAUAUGCUUCACUUUAACUACAAACAAUCUUUCAUUUGUUUUAUUUUGGCUCCUUCAAGUGCCAUAUUUUCUGUAUUUUUUCAAUUCUAAUUGAAUUUCUGGAGGAUGAUUCAAUGGAGGUACAGUUUCAACAUGAAAAGACUUGUGUGUUUUCUGAAGAUUAUUCAGUUCAUGGAGCUGAAAAAAGAAAUAACAUGGCAAAGGCUUUUAUAUUGUCUUAGUGGGUACAAAAACCACAAUCAGGUUGUAAACAGAAUACCUUGCUAGUUGCAAGACCUCCUUCAGCAAUCAGCACCCUCUU